rnacentral:rRNA from 1 species
UACGUAGGGUGCGAGCGUUGUCCGGAAUUAUUGGGCGUAAAGGGCUCGUAGGCGGUUUGUCGCGUCGGGAGUGAAAACACCGGGCUUAACUCGGUGCUUGCUUUCGAUACGGGCAGACUUGAGGCAUGCAGGGGAGAACGGAAUUCCUGGUGUAGCGGUGAAAUGCGCAGAUAUCAGGAGGAACACCGGUGGCGAAGGCGGCAUCCUGGACCAACACUGACGCUGAGGAGCGAAAGCCAGGGGAGCAAACGGG